UCAACACUUUUUAUUUAAAUUUAAUAGUUUUAUAUAAUUUUUCAAUAUAAAAUAAUAAUAAAAAGUGUGUGCCACGUGUCGAAUAACGCCACCCUUUCACGCCUUAUUCUACUCCCUUUUUGCUCCACGCCACUUUUCUGACGCGUGCCGCCACUUUUCUGAUGCGUGCUGACGUGACUGCCACAUGUCGCAUAACGCCCUAUUUUCAUGCCCCUCCACGCCGAAUGGUCUUACCAAGUAUGCCCCUCCACUGCGCUUUUGACUUUUUCAUUUUGUUUUGGUGGUGGGUCAGUCGAUUCUAGCAUUGGAGCGUAGCAGUCGUGAUUCUACUUGUUUAGGCAUGGAGCAUUAGAGAAACUGAGCAGGAUGUGGAGGGAAAUCAUACUAUCUGUAGAAUCUGCCCAAAAUGCUUAUAAAUAGUUUCGCAACAAGGCAGCAUUUUCAAGAUCAAUAAGUGUAUUUAGUCGAGUUUUUUUAAACAGUUUUAGGUACUUGUUGAUUAUAACAUUGGCAACUUGAUGUGAUUAUAAUUGAAGCUGGAAAAUGGAGGAUAUUGCAUAAGGAAGAGUGUGGAGGAGUGGUAAUGUUUUGCAAAUUUGUAACCCAAAGAACACCCCUAUGCAGAAAGAUGUUGACAAGCAACGAGCAAACUAUGAAGCUACGGUGAAGUAUUAUGGAGAAGCUAGCUAUGAGACUAUUUAAGGAUCUGAAAGAUGAGUAGGAGGUUUUCGUUACUUUUUAUCAUUGUAAUUACAACUUUAUUUUGAUUAUAUUGUUAUUUUGAGUUUGGACA